rnacentral:rRNA from 1 species
UACAGAGGGGGCAAGCGUUGUUCGGAAUUACUGGGCGUAAAGGGCGCGUAGGCGGCCCGCUAAGUCGAACGUGAAAUCCCCGAGCUCAACUCGGGAACUGCGUCCGAUACUGGCGGGCUUGAAUCCGGGAGAGGGAUGCGGAAUUCCAGGUGUAGCGGUGAAAUUCGUAGAUAUUCGGAAGAACACCAGUGGCGAAGGCGGCUCACUGGUCCGGUACUGACGCUGAGGUGCGAAAGCGUGGGGAGCAAACAGG